AUACGUAGGUGACAAGCGUUAUCCGGAUUUACUGGGCGUAAAGGGCGUGUAGGCGGUCUUGCAAGUCAGAAGUGAAAUUCCUGAGCUCAACUCGGGCGCUGCUUCUGAAACUGCAGGACUUGAGUGCUGGAGGGGAUAGCGGAAUUCCUAGUGGAGCGGUAAAAUGCGCAGAUAUGAGGAAGAACACCGGUGGCGAAGGCAGCUAUCUGGACAGUAACUGACGCUGAGGCGCGAAAGCGUGGGGAGCAAACAGGAUUAGAUCCCCUGGUAGUCCACGCCGUAAACGAUGAAUACUAGGUGUAGGGGGUAUCGACUCCCUCUGUGCCGCAGUUAACACAAUAAGUAUUCCGCCUGGGGAGUAGGGCCGCAAGGUUGAAACUCAAAUGAAUUGACGGGG
rnacentral:rRNA from 1 species